rnacentral:rRNA from 1 species
GACGAACGCUGGCGGCGUGCUUAACACAUGCAAGUCGAACGGAAAGGCCCUGCUUGCAGGGUACUCGAGUGGCGAACGGGUGAGUAACACGUGGGUGAUCUGCCCUGCACUUCGGGAUAAGCCUGGGAAACUGGGUCUAAUACCGGAUAGGAGCCAUUUUUAGUGUGAUGGUUGGAAAGUUUUUUCGGUGUAGGAUGAGCUCGCGGCCUAUCAGCUUGUUGGUGGGGUAAUGGCCUACCAAGGCGGCGACGGGUAGCCGGCCUGAGCGGGUGGACGGCCACAUUGGGACUGAGAUACGGCCCAGACUCCUACGGGGGGCAGCAGUGGGGAAUAUUGCACAAUGGGCGCAAGCCUGAUGCAGCGACGCCGCGUGGGGGAUGACGGCCUUCGGGUUGGAAACUCCUUUCGCUAGGGACGAAGCUGUUUGUGACGGUACCUAGAUAAGAAGCACCGGCUAACUACGUG